rnacentral:rRNA from 1 species
AUUGAACGCUGGCGGCAGGCCUAACACAUGCAAGUCGAGCGAGCGGCGGACGGGUGAGUAAUGUAUGGGAAACUGCCUGAUGGAGGGGGAUAACUACUGGAAACGGUAGCUAAUACCGCAUACCAUCAGAUGUGCCCAGAUGGGCUUAGCUAGUUGGUGGGGUAACGCCCCACCUAGGCGACGAUCCCUAGCUGUUCUGAGAGGAUGACAAGCCAAAUGUGCACGGAGACACGGUCCAGAGUCCUACGGGAGGCAGCAGUGGGGAAUGUUGCACAAUGGGCGAAAUCCUGAUGCAGCCAUGCCGCGUGUGUGAAGAAGGCCUGCGGGUUGUAAAGCACUUUCAGCGGGGAGGCGUUACCCGCAGAAGAAGCACCGGCUAACUCCGUGCCAGCAGCCGCGGUAAUAC